rnacentral:rRNA from 1 species
GACGAACGCUGGCGGCGUGCCUAAUACAUGCAAGUAGAACGCUGAAGGAGGAGCUUGCUUCUCUGGAUGAGUUGCGAACGGGUGAGUAACGCGUAGGUAACCUGCCUGGUAGCGGGGGAUAACUAUUGGAAACGAUAGCUAAUACCGCAUAAUAUUGACUAUUGCAUGAUAGCCAGUUGAAAGGUGCAACUGCACCACUACCAGAUGGACCUGCGUUGUAUUAGCUAGUUGGUGGGGUAACGGCUCACCAAGGCGACGAUACAUAGCCGACCUGAGAGGGUGAUCGGCCACACUGGGACUGAGACACGGCCCAGACUCCUACGGGAGGCAGCAGUAGGGAAUCUUCGGCAAUGGACGGAAGUCUGACCGAGCAACGCCGCGUGAGUGAAGAAGGUUUUCGGAUCGUAAAGCUCUGUUGUAAGAGAAGAACGAGUGUGAGAACUGAAAAG